rnacentral:rRNA from 1 species
AACGAACGCUGGCGGCAUGCCUAACACAUGCAAGUCGAACGAGACCUUCGGGUCUAGUGGCGCACGGGUGCGUAACGCGUGGGAACCUGCCCUUAGGUUCGGAAUAACUCCCCGAAAGGGGUGCUAAUACCGGAUAAUGUCUUCGGACCAAAGAUUUAUCGCCUUUGGAUGGGCCCGCGUUGGAUUAGCUAGUUGGUAGGGUAAAAGCCUACCAAGGCGACGAUCCAUAGCUGGUCUGUGAGGAUGAUCAGCCACACUGGGACUGAGACACGGCCCAGACUCCGACGGGGGGCAGCAGUGGAGAAUAUUGGACGAUGGGCGAAAGCCUGAUACAGCAAUGCGGCGUGAGUGAUGAAGGGGUUAGGGUUGUAAAGCUCUUUUACCCGGGAUGAGAAUGACAGUACCGGGAGAAUAAGCUCCGGCUAACUCCGUG